ACUCAUUUCUAUGUAAACAAUUAAGCAUUCAUCAUUUUCUCUCACAUCCACUUUUCAUCUCUCUCUCUCUCUCCAAUAUCUCUAUCUCCAAAGAAAUAACUCAACAAUUUCUUUGUGAUAAUCAAGGUAUUUGUAUCGUAUGCAAAGCCCAAUCUGCAGAAGUUAAGAUGGCAUUUUCAUGUGCAUCACCUCGUAGCAUAUGUGUUAUCUCUUUGUGGAUCUUCCAACAACUCUAUAGCUAACACAAACAACCAGAUCUGACCUGACUGGUUGAUCUUCAAGACAUCAACAGUCUCGUCUAUGUUCCACACCCAAUUGAUAUGAUGUAGAUAUAGAUCAUCAAGGGGUCGCAAUGCUGACAUGAAUUAUCAUAGAGAUCCGUUGGGACUCGUUAUGGUUACACUUUUUGUUUAUGAUCAUAUCAUACCAGACAUGGUUUUUGUGGUAGUCAGAUAAUGGUUAACAAUCAAUUGCUCUUGCUGGUGGUUAUGCUGAUAUUCAUGAUCAAAGUGAAUGGUUUAUCUAUACAAAAGGGUAUAUAACUAGUCAAGUAAUCAUGUGAUUUAUAUAGUUACCCAUUCUGAGUUCAUUGUUGAUGGGUAACGUUGUCAUCUUAUCUUAUCUUAUAUAACUAAUCUUGGUUAAUUAUUUUGCUUAGUUCCACUAUUAGUGUUAAGUAAUGCGAAUUGUGCAUUCCAGUUUUAGUCCACACUUUUAGUUCUCAAGUAUUAUAUUAUUCA